rnacentral:lncRNA from 1 species
GGGCUCAACUGCUCCAGCCCCUCCAAGGCUGCUUUCACCUGCACAUGGAGGUGCCAGGGCUGUUCUGGACUCUGACUGAGCCCUUCAGAGGUGCCAGGGCUGUUCUGGACUCUGACUGAGCCCUUUGGAGGUGCCAGGGCUGUUCUGGACUCUGACUGACCCUUCAGAGGUGCCAGGGCUGUUCUGGACUGACCCUUCAGAGGUGCCAGGGCUGUUCUGGACUCUGACUGACCCUUCUGAGGGCUGUUCUGGACUCUGACUGAGCCCUUUGGAGGUGCCAGGGCUGUUCUGGACUGAGCCCCUCGGAGGUGCCAGGGCUGUUCUGGACUCUGACUGACCCUUCGGAGGUGCCAGGGCUGUUCUGGACUCUGACUGAGCCCUUUGGAGGUGCCAGGGCUGUUCUGGACUCUGACUGAGCCCUCAGAGGUGCCAGGGCUGUUCUGGACUCUGACUGAGCCCUUUGGAGGUGCCAGGGCUGUUCUGGACUCUGACAGAACCCUUCGGAGGUGCCAGGGCUGUUCUGGACUCUGACUGACCCUUCGGAGGUGCCAAAUGCCAACAGCUGAGGAACAGGGCCUGGCUCUGAGGAAACACCUGCAGGGUGACCCAUUUUCCCUCACCUCUGACCCUGGCCAUACCAGAAGAGCCACUUGAAACUCUGAGAAACUAAAAUAUGCUAAGUACUCUUUUGUCAGCUAGAAAUAUCUCUCCCAAGCAGAGGUUACCUAGAAAGUGAGCCGCUCCAGGCAAAUUAACAUUAUAGAAAUAAUAAACCGAGUUUAAACCAGUUUCUAUUCAUCUGGCAAGUGCUUUCACACUAAUAAUGGAAAGGGCAGCAGUAUUAUGUAGUAAUGGCCUCCUUUCCAUUGUUCUGUGCAACUGCACUUCAUUAAAAGGCAACCUUUCUCCUGUUCCUAAAUAGUAAACUAUAGCACAGCUAUAUAAAAGCACUUCAAUAUUUUAUAGCAGCUAAGGCUGCCUGCUAUCUAUAAUUACAGUC